rnacentral:rRNA from 1 species
GACGAACCGUGCGACCGUUAUUCGGAAUCACUGGGCUUAAAGCGCGUGUAGGCGGAUUGGAACGUCGGUCGCUGAAAUCCCCCGGCUUAACCGGGGAACGGGCGCCGAAACGACCAGUCUGGAGGAACGUAGGGGGAGCUGGAACUUCCGGUGGAGCGGUGAAAUGCGUUGAGAUCGGAAGGAACGCCCGUGGCGAAAGCGAGCUCCUGGACGUUUUCUGACGCUGAGACGCGAAAGCCAGGGGAGCGAACGGG